rnacentral:snRNA from 1 species
AUCGCUUCUCGGCCUUUUGGCUAAGAUCAAGUGUAAAAGUACCUGACCCCCAAUUUAAGAGAAUGUUUAGCUAUGGCUGUGGUUAAAUUACUACUACACACUCCCAAGUCACUCAGGGAUUUACAGCACUUACGAGGGGGAGCUUCCU